AUUGAACGCUGGCGGCAGGCCUAACACAUGCAAGUCGAGCGGGGUUUUCGGACCUAGCGGCGGACGGGUGAGUAAUGCGUAGGAAGCUACGUGAUAGAGGGGGAUACCAGUUGGAAACGACUGUUAAUACCGCAUAAUGUCUACGGACCAAAGUGUGGUACCUUCGGGCCACAUGCUAUCGGAUGCGCCUGCGUGGGAUUAGCUAGUUGGUGGGGUAAUGGCUCACCAAGGCGACGAUCCCUAGCUGGUUUGAGAGGGUGAUCAGCCACACUGGAAUUAGGACACUGUCCAGACCCCUACGGUGGGCGUCAGUGGGGAAUAUUGGACAAUGGGCGCGAGCCUGAACCAGCCAUGCCGGGUGGGUGAAGAAGGCCUUCGGGUUGUAAAGCACUUUCAGUAGGGAGGAAGCGUUGUGUGUUAAUAGUACGCAGCGUAUGCGUUACCUACAGAAGAAGCACCGGCUAACUCUGUGCCAGCCGCCGCCGUAAGAC
rnacentral:rRNA from 1 species